rnacentral:rRNA from 1 species
GCCUUUGCCGCCCGGUCCGCCUAUUUGGGUGUGUACUGGAGCGGUGGAGGCUUACCUCGUGGUGAGCUGUUAUGCCCUUUACUGGGUGUGGCAGGGAACCAUGAUUUUUACUUUGAAAAAAUUAGAGUGUUCAAAGCAGGCCUUUGCUCGAAUACAUUAGCAUGGAAUAAUGGAAUAGGA